UCCUUGGUAGCCCAGAUGGUAGAGAAUCUGCCUGCAAUGCAGGAGACCCAGGUUCAAUCUCUGGGUUGGGAA
rnacentral:tRNA from 1 species